UACAGAGGUCUCAAGCGUUGUUCGGAUUCAUUGGGCGUAAAGGGUGCGUAGGUGGCGCCAUAAGUCAGGUGUGAAAUUUCGGAGCUUAACUCCGAAACUGCAUUUGAUACUGUGGUGCUUGAGGACUGGAGAGGAGACUGGAAUUUACGGUGUAGCAGUGAAAUGCGUAGAGAUCGUAAGGAAGACCAGUGGCGAAGGCGGGUCUCUGGACAGUUCCUGACACUGAGGCACGAAGGCCAGGGGAGCAAACGGG
rnacentral:rRNA from 1 species